rfam:Triticum aestivum genome assembly, contig: Triticum_aestivum_CS42_TGACv1_scaffold_227353_3B
UUUGUACUCCCUCCGUCCCAAAAUUCUUGUCUUAAAUUUGUCUUAAUACGGAUGUAUCUAGUUACAUUUUAGUGUUAGAUACAUCCGUAUCUAAACAAAUGUAAGAUAAGAAUUUUGGGACGGAGGGAAUACUAC